AUUGAACGCUGGCGGCAGGCCUAACACAUGCAAGUCGAGCGGUUGACGGGAGCUUGCUCCCUGAUUCAGCGGCGGACGGGUGAGUAAUGCCUAGGAAUCUGCCUAUUAGUGGGGGACAACGUUUCGAAAGGAACGCUAAUACCGCAUACGUCCUACGGGAGAAAGCAGGGGACCUUUGGGCCUUGCGCUAAUAGAUGAGCCUAGGUCGGAUUAGCUUGUUGGUGAGGUAAUGGCUCACCAAGGCGACGAUCCGUAACUGGUCUGAGAGGAUGAUCAGUCACACUGGAACUGAGACACGGUCCAGACUCCUACGGGAGGCAGCAGUGGGGAAUAUUGGACAAUGGGCGAAGGCCUGAUCCAGCCAUGCCGCGUGUGUGAAGAAGGUCUUCGGAUUGUAAAGCACUUUAAGUCGGGAGGAAGGGUUGUAGAUUAAUACUCUGCAAUUUUGACGUUACCGACAGAAUAAGCACCGGCUAACUCUGUGCCAGCCGCCGCAGUAA
rnacentral:rRNA from 1 species